AUGUGUAUACUUCGUUAAGUAAGAUGGGAGAGGAAACGUUCUUCGCUAUCGAGAUACAUCCAUCCUGUGCAGAAAAGCAGGGACAAUGCAUACCAAGAGCUCAAUGUGUGGAGAAGAAAAUGCUCUAUAUAUCAAGAGCGUGCUAUAAACGAGAUUUAGUUUGUUGUUACGAUAAUACAAUCCGUUUCCCUACAAUUGAACACGUUACUGAAUCGAAAAACUCCACGGAUGAAUAAUCAAGUCCUAAUAAUCUAAUAUGCCUUCUGCAACUGAAAUUUUAAUAAAGAUUGUUUCAUGAAGUGAACUUAUCAUUGAA